rnacentral:rRNA from 1 species
GGGCCCGCACAAGCGGAGGAACAUGUGGUUUAAUUCGAUGAUACGCGAGGAACCUUACCCGGGCUCGAACGGCAGAGGAAUGUGUGUGAAAGCAUACAGCUAGCAAUAGCCGCUGUCGAGGUGCUGCAUGGUUGUCGUCAGCUCGUGCCGUGAGGUGUCGGCUUAAGUGCCAUAACGAGCGCAACCCUUAUCUUUAGUUACCAUCAGGUUAAGCUGGGGACUCUAGAGAGACUGCCGCCGUAAGGUGAGAGGAAGGUGGGGAUGACGUCAAAUCAGCACGGCCCUUACGUCCGGGGCUACACACGUGUUACAAUGGGUGGGACAGAGAGGAGCAAGUUAGCGAUAAUGCGCGAAUCUUCAAACCCGCUCUCAGUUCGGAUCGAAGUCUGCAACCCGACUUCGUGAAGCUGGAUUCGCUAGUAAUCGCGCAUCAGCCAUGGCGCGGUGAAUACG